CUCGAUCUCCUGACAUCGUGAUCCACCCGCCUCGGCCUCCCAAAGUGCUGGGAUUACAGGCGUGAGCCACCGCGCGCAGCCAUAUCACGUUUUUAAUAGGAAGUACUGAAAGAAGUGUGGUUUUUUUAGAUAGACCACAAUGAAAAAGGAAAUAAUUGCCUUAAAAGUUGUCUCACAGUUCUGAGAAUGACAUGAAACCAUAGCACCUCCAAUUGGACAUGACUUGAGGCAUCACCUUGUCAUCUACCUCUCUAAAGGAGACUUUGAGAGAGAUUGAGAGGGAAUCUGUUUUGUUUGUUUGUUUGUUUGUUUGUUUUGCAUUUUCCAGGUUUUAGAGGAUACUUACAUUUCUUGGCUCAUGACCCCUUCCUUCACUUUCAAAGUUAGUCAUGAUUGGUCAAGUCUUUCUCAUACUGCACCACUCUGACACUUCGUGUUUGUAGUCAAAUAGUCCCUCUCCUUUCCUCUAAUAACCAUUGUGAUUACAUUGGGCCUAUCCGGAUAAUACAGGCUAAUCUCCCUGUGAUGGUUAAUAUCGAGUAUCAACUUGAUUGGAUUGAAGAAUGCAAAGUAUUGUUCCUGGGUAUGUCUGUGAGGGUACUGCCAAAGGAGAUUAACAUUUGAGUCAGUGGACUGGGAGAGACAGGCUCACCCUCAAUCUGGGUGGGCACCACCUAAUCAGCUGCCAGAGUGGCUAGAAUAAAGCAGGCAGGAAAAGAUGGAAGAGCAGACUUGCUGAGCCUUUCAUCCUUCACCUUUCUAGCAUGCUGGAUGCCUCCUGCUCUUGAACAUCAGACUUCAAGUUCUUCAGCUGUUGGACUUUCGGACUUACCCCAGUGGUUUGCUUGCCACAGACUGAAGGCUGCACUGUUGCUUCCCUACUUUUGAGGUUUUGGGACUCGAACUGAUCCACCACUGUCUUCCUUGCUGCUCAACUUGCAGACGGCCUAUCGUGGGACUUUACCUUGUGACUGUUGAAUGAAAGAGAUCAAGAGAACUGAAUCUCUAAGCCACUACCCAUCUUCAUACAGGGUGGAAGAAUAUACAAGACAGAAGAUCUCAUUUAACUGAAAAUUUAACUUCGACUUUAAUAUUCCUAGAGUUUUUCUACACAUGAAAUAUUAGAAAACAUGCUACCUUUUCACAGGUCUUCGAAUCAAGAAGGGGCCUUGAGGAGCUGCACCCAAAGAAAUGAACUCAAGUAUUGUCAUCUGUACCUGCCUUCAUUGAGAUGAUGAAGCCUUAACUUGUUGCUUUAGCAACACGAGACUUUGGGGAUGUCUUGGGAGGAAGUGAGUACAUCAUGCAUGUGGAAGAAAUGUAAAUAAAUUUUGGUCAUUUUAAAACCUGACCUAGAAAUUCUCUGACACUCCUCCCAUCAAAAACUGGGGCCUAUAUAACAUCCCAUUAAAUUUUAUUUCUGUGACUAUUUGAGCAAUAGAAUAUAGUGGAAUUGAUGUUUUGCUAGUUUUGGGGCCAAAGCCUUAAGAAACUGGCAGCUGCCACUUCCUGUUGCUUGGAGUACUUGCUCCUGUAACCCAGGCAUCAAUCCAUGAGGAUGCACCCUGUGGAGGUGCCCAUAUAGUGAGGCCCAUGUGGAAAGGAACCAAGCAGCCCCUGCUCUCAGCCUGAGUUGAGCUCGUGAACAAUAGACAGCACCAAAUUGCACCCCAUGUGAGUAAAUCAACUUAGAGGUGGAUCCUCCAGUUCCCAGUGGAGUGGCCCCUGCUGAUACUAUCUUGAAAAGAAAUAAACUUUCUCUGCCUGAUCCCAUUUCAUACCAUAAUAAUUGUGAUUUAUCUAUGCAGUAACAGACAACCAAAACAUAACUAUCACAAGAUAAAUAAUCUUGAGGAAAAGGAAGAUGUUUUGGUAGUAAAAUUAUGAGUGCUACAGAGGGUUAAGAGAAUUGUUAUUUUUAAGAAGUAAUCUCUCUCUUUGUAGAUUUAUACUACCCAGACCAGGUGUCUAAUAAAAUAAUCUCUGAAAA
rnacentral:lncRNA from 1 species